GGGAAGAAAUUAAUGAAAUUUAAGGUCACAAUCCAAAUAUCUACAUGGAAAAUUUCAAUGUGGAUCCUAAGAUAUAAAUUUUAAGUGCAUUCAGUAUUCAAAUUACCAGGAGCCCCCCUCCUCAAAAAGGGACCUUAAAUCACCUAUGAUAGGUACAAACAUAAAACCCACAAUUUUCCAAAAGCAUUAAAAGUAUUUCUAAGACUUAGUGUAUGCAAGUCAUAUUCAAACAGGUUGUACUUUGUUUUGUGCAUAAAUUUUAAGGAUUUCUGUUCACUGGAGGCCUCAGACUGUCAGACAAAGUGCACAUUCACCACCAGUGCUCUGCGCGCGAUAAGCCCCACCCCGCAUGCGCGCACACGGCUGUUACACCCUCGUGCCGGGCAGUUGAGCUCAGAGGAAGGCAUGCCGACGCCGCCAUCUUGGACUUUUUAACAGAAACUGUUUUCAAGACAAAAUGGAUAAAAUGGACAUCCGAGCAGAAACGUCACACACAGUUCAGGUAGCAGGCACUUCGACUUGGCAGCUGCUGCCUUCACUCAGCACCAAGCACAGCGAUGGCGAGGGGGGUGGGGGACAGAGUGAAAAGCUUGAGAGGUGGGUAGGGAGAUAAGAAGAGAGCACGGAGGAGAUAAGAGCAGAAAGAGCGCGGUGUGGAGCAGCAGGACAUUUACAGUUGUUAAAGAGCUCAUCUUGGCAGACACCUUUUAAAGUGUAGGUCUUUUUAUACGCAAAUCACCAGUAAAUGCACUGCUUAUGCAUGCAUGUGAAUUGCUCUUAAUGUUUGACUAUAAACCAGUUCUGCUGUGUUUUACAUCUUUAAAUAUAACCCGUCAGACGAGCUACAGAUGAGGAGCCACGCCAAUAACACAAUGAAAGAUUUAAAUGUAUUCACAGGGUGGAUAACUGCCAUUCUCCAGGAAGGGUGUAAAAAUGUGAGCCUCAACAAGCUCGCAGGUAACUGGUAACCAAACACACCACAUGUGGAUGUGAUUCUGUGAACCCCUUUCAUCAUAAAUCUGUGUUUUCCCUGCACAUAAAAGGAGUUACAUGAGCAUGAAAUACAUUUUUGUUUAUUAAAUGGCCAAGAAUUUCAGUUAAGUAAGGUAACACAGGGUCAUUGCCUUAACUAUAGCCAGGAAACACCCUGUGAAUUCAUCAAAUUUGGACCAUCUCACCAUCAUUACGGAGUUUUUCACAUUGUUUCUGUGAAUUAGUCAAGCUGCACUUCUCUUUUGUGCUGUCACAGUAGGUGGCAGUGUACCUGGAAAAAUAAACAAUGAACUUUCAGUCAACCAUAAAUGAAUCAAAAAUAAAUAAAUGCUCUAGCGCCGAAAGGUUGCACUAGCAGUAUUAACAGAAAAAAUGUGCCUCUGUGUAGGUACACUCAUAAACUUUUGCAUUGCAAUAAAAUACAAAUGAACAAAUUCAGAUUAUA